AUUGAACGCUGGCGGCAGGCCUAACACAUGCAAGUCGAACGGUAACAGGAAGAAGCUUGCUUCUUUGCUGACGAGUGGCGGACGGGUGAGUAAUGUCUGGGAAACUGCCUGAUGGAGGGGGAUAACUACUGGAAACGGUAGCUAAUACCGCAUAAUGUCGCAAGACCAAAGGGGGGGACCUUCGGGCCUCUUGCCAUCGGAUGUGCCCAGAUGGGAUUAGCUAGUAGGUGGGGUAACGGCUCACCUAGGCGACGAUCCCCAGCUGGUCUGAGAGGAUGACCAGCCACACUGGAACUGAGACACGGUCCAGACUCCUACGGGAGGCAGCAGUGGGGAAUAUUGCACAAUGGGCGCAAGCCUGAUGCAGCUAUGCCGCGUGUAUGAAGAAGGCCUUCGGGUUGUAAAGUACUUUCAGCGGGGAGGAAGGGAGUAAAGUUAAUACCUUUGCUCAUUGACGUUACCCGCAGAAGAAGCACCGGCUAACUCCGUG
rnacentral:rRNA from 1 species